UGCUGCAUGGCUGUCGUCAGCUCGUGUCGUGAGAUGUUGGGUUAAGUCCGCAACGAGCGCAACCCUUAUCCCUAGUUGCCAUCAGGUAAAGCUGGGAACUCUGGGGAGACUGCCGGUGAUAAACCGGAGGAAGGCGGGGAUGACGUCAAGUCCUCAUGGCCCUUACAUCCCGGGCUACACACGUGCUACAAUGGCAGGUACAGAGGGCUGCGAAGCCGCGAGGUGGAGCGAAUCCCAGAAAACCUGUCUCAGUCCGGAUUGAAGUCCGCAACUCGACUUCAUGAAGGCGGAAUCGCUAGUAACCGCGAAUCAGCAGGUCGCGGUGAAUACGUUCCCGGGCCUU
rnacentral:rRNA from 1 species